rnacentral:lncRNA from 1 species
AGAGGUGGAUUACUGUCAGUACCAACUACAGAGCCCCAGAGAGCUGUGGCAUUAAUUCCCAUAGAAAGGUAGACAAACACAGUCACUGACUAACAACUUCCCCGCGGAGCCCUCAUUGUCUAAGCACUUUCUUUGGCUCGAGGGCUCUCUUGGAGUUGAUACAGACCUCAGCCCGAAACCAAAUUCAAUGCCUAGGUGACAGGACUGGAGACGAGGCAGAGAGGUCUCUCUCUUGCCCUCCCGGGACCGCAGGAAGGACAGGGAGGAGUGGGGAAAUCCAGGUGCGGAUCCAGGGGGAGGGGAGGAAGUUGAGGCAGAAAGUGGCAGCGAAUUCCCCGAAGUGAACAGCUAGGUAGGGUGGGACAGUCCCAAGAUCUUGGGGCUACCAAAGGGACAGCGCCCAAAGCCACUCCGGCCACCAAUAUUAACUUCCGAUUGGUGUGAGCAUCUUUCACUCCUCUCUCCGGACUAUCUUCCUUUUUUUUUUUUUAAAUUCGGUAGUUUUCAAUCCAAGCGUAGUCUGGGGAUAAGGGGGGAGACGCGUUGGGCGUCCCAGACUAGCAGAAUAAUUGUGUCUAACUUCUAGCCGGGCAUGUGUACAGGAGAGUGCGGCGGCAAAGCUAGGCUAGGAUUUGGAAGGUGGUGUGAGGCGAAGCGGCUGGAGGCAGGAGGCUAGCGGAUUGGGGGGAAGAAAAGCCGAAAUGGAUUCCCGGGUUCAUGGAUGGAAGAGAAGGGAGUUUCGAAUUCCUGCAGCUCGGUCUGUCCGGAGAGAAGUGAUCAAGCCCCGGCUGUCGAGAGGCUCAGGGAGCCUUUACGUUUUUUCGCUUUUACCUGCCAAUCAAACUGCUACAAGACAACACCCUGAUCUGGCAUGGACAUUGUCCAAAUGAUAUCCUGAUGAUGGAAAAGCCUCUUCACAUUUGCUCCCAGAACCUUGGUGCUGCUAGAAGUUGGAAGAGUGAACUUUUAAAGGAGGACAGCAGCAUCAGUGCCAACAAAGAAAAGUUUAAAAAGCGCUUCCCCCCGACCUCAACUGGACAAUACAAAGUAAGAAGGAUAAGCUUGGAGUACCCAGUCACCGUGGUAACUGCCAGAAAAAUUCUCCUGAAGUUUGAAGAGCUAAGUCAUGAACAUUCCUCCAAAGAAACUUUUAAACAGUGAAAGCAACAGUAAUGUGAACCUGACAAGCUGACAUUUCAUCCAAACCUUUUUAUCGGAUUUUCAGUGGUUAUAGAUGGGGGUAAGUGGUCUGUCCCCUUGCUCUCCUUUGUGGGGGGUAGCUGUUAUGUACACACAUGGUCUUUGUGAUGCAAGGCCUCUGGGUCUUGGCUUCUCACAACAUUAAAUCCCUUUUAUAAAACAUAUCUUUACAAAGCCUAUUGUAGUAUAAUGAGAACAAAUUAUACCAUGAAUAAAUUAGUUGGAAGUGUAGAGUGUUUUCUAUUGGAGAAAGUUAGAAGAGACAAGGGCAUAACUAAAAUGGGAUAGCAGUAGAUGCAUUAAAAAAAAAAAUACUAGUAAUUAGGGCAACCAUUGCAACUCUCUGAUUUCUUUUCCUUUCCUGAGACUUGAAGGAGUAUAUGUGGAUGGGGUUUUCACUUUGGCCAUUUCUACCUCCCCAGUAUUGCCAGGUAAAGACAAUAGAGAUCUGUUUGUGGAUUAUUUUACUCCGCACAUGUAAUCUGUAGAAGGAUGAUCAAAAACCCACUUUGUCCUACUCUUUCUUAGCCAGCAGUCAAAAGUGGACAAUUAUGAUUAAAAGUAAUGUUCAAAAUUAGCAAAUUUGUCUCUGAGGUUAUGUCUCGUUUGUAAAUUAUAUUGCUGUCAAUAAAUUAUAUUAAUGGACACACCCAAAUGCAUAUAUUAAUUAUUUGUCUUUUCUAUUUCUAAGACUUUGUAGCAUAGAGGAGUUUAAAAAUCUCACAAAUACAUAAAUGUCACAGUACUCAUGGCAGUAAAUGUAACAGUUCAGACUUUAACAAUUCCCUUAUGGUUUUGCUCAUUAGCUUUCUGAAAAAAAUGUUUUUUAGGGUUGAAAUGUUCAUGCUUUUCAUUCACUAGUACUAAGGUGAAUUCUUCUCUGGGAAAUUUCAAGGAAAAUAAUAUUUGGCUACUAGUAAGUUAUGCACCUGCUGGAGAAAUCCCCACUUUUUUGCUUAAAAUAAACCAAGGACUUUUAUAGUCAAAGCUCAAACCCUUUUACCUUUUAAUUUUCAAAUGCCACAGGUGGGGUUGUACUUCAUAAACUAAACAAUCUACUUUAGAUUUCCAAAAAAAAAGUACAUCACUUAAAAGCAAAGAUAUUCUAAGCUAUUAAAAAGCUGGAUUUACAUCUCCAUAGUUACUGAGAUUGAAGUUGCAAAAUUACCUAAGGUAUUAUGCAGCUGUGCACCUCCACAGUGCUACAGAUAAGGUUUUCUUUGUUUGUUUUGAUAGUCUGGUGUAUUGUAAUACCUCUAGAAUUGUUCCUUGACAAAACUAUGUAGUCAGAGAGUAGUGUAGGGGCCCUUUCCCUUCUCCCUCCCUUCCCCUCCUGCGUGCCUCUCACUUUUUAAGGACAUUUUCAUUUGGUGGUUUACAAAACAGUUAAAGAAUUGAAGUUCCCAAAGUUUGGCUAACCCUAUAUUAAUGUAUGAAGUUUAAGCCUCACAAGUCAGGAAAUAGGAAAAUUAAGGUUCCCAUCUCGUUUAAUUUACCUCCAUUAUGUGGUAAAGUAAUGGGUACCCCUUUAGCUAUAUUAUAAUGUUAAUAAUAUGUGGAUGAGUCAAUGUUACUAUGAAAACUUUUAUUUUUGCAUAUCCUAACUCAGGUACAGUUAAAUUAGCAUAAUUCUUUGCAUUUCACUUAUACAAAUGUUCGUUUGCCACCGUAAUUAUGCCGGCUGCCAGAGAAGCCCUGUUAAGCUUCUUAGGAACUCCAUUUAAUGCUUUCAGGUUGGAAAAUAAUCAACUGUUGUGGUUUGGCGUUCAGUUAGUCAUCUUGUAUCAAGCACGACACAUCUGAUAACCUCCUACUUUUUGCCUCAACGUUUUUCGAAUAAAACUGUAAUCACUGUAUCCUAGGAGCUGUUAAAUUAAUGCACGUAAGGAAAACCAAAAUGUUCUCUAAUACAUGCAGGGUCAUUUUCACUUAUAUUGCUGGUUGUUUGCUUAGGUACUCUUGAAAUUCCUUUUUAGGAAGCGAGGCUUAUUUUGAACAUGUGUGAAUUUACCAGCUGUCACUGUCAACAGAAGGUUGUUUUUUUCCCUGGCAAUGCUGGUAUUACUCAUCAGUCUCAUGGUAGUUUUGUUUGAAAAAAUGCUGGUGUAAGGAAAAGGGGGUUUAUCUGAUCAGCAGUGUGUGAUGCUAACAUGCUCUACACAAAAGACAAACGCUCAUUUCAGUGGAACUGGUAGCAUUUCAUGGGGCCCCCAAAUUGGCUGAACAAGGCUUCUCUGCCAACCAAAAUCCCCUAGCGAGGGAAGUUCUUAAAGUGCUAGCUUUGCAGUUGGAACAUUCAUGGUCUCUUCUUCACGAUUUCUUCUCUGUGGCCCGGUUCUAAAAUCAUUCAUCAUUUGAGUAAUGCAGGAGGAAGAAGAAAAGUUAACAGCUGAGUGGUUUUCAUCUAAGAAUUUGAUGGGCAAAAAGGCAAACAACCUUUAGAAUAUUUUGGAAAGAAAUCUUGUCAAAUUACUAUUCGGACUAUCGUAUGGUUCUGUCCUUGCAAUGUCGGACGUUAUUUAGAGCAUAUUGCUUAUCCAUUGAAAUAAAAUUUUCAGAUGAAGAUUUUCCUUUGCAGUGUAUGAAUCUUUGGGCAUCCCUAAAAAUCCCAGUAAAUUAUUAUUUCUUCAAUUUUAAACAGUAAAAAGAGUUUUCUUCUUUAUGGAUUUGAGAGAUUUCUAGUGACUGCCUGAAGCCUGUAGAAGAACUGUUGGCAGAAAGCAUGACACCAAACUUUAAAAAAACAACUGUGCAGUUUUCUAGGGGAUAGAGAAAUGUGUGUGCAUGUAUGUGUAUGAGACCUAGUUAAUUGGGAAGAGUUGGAACAUCAGAUAAGACUUUAAAACUUUAAAUAGGUUUUUUAUCUUUGAUUUUUAUUGAACUCAUAUUUCAGUGAAUGAGAUUUGCUACCAUUUCUCAAGAUAGUAGAUGCAAAAUUAUAUAGGAUGAUAUUUUGGCUGUGCAUUAAUAUUGUGCCUCAUUUAAUGAUCUUUUUCUACUGUGUAGCAUUGUCAUCAUCAUCGGGAACAUCCUCUGAGUACUGAAAAGGAAAUCCACUGAGGAACUUAACUCUCAGAGAUUAAUCUGUGCAUUGAGUUGAAAUUUGGUUAAAAAAAUCAGAGAAAAUUUUAUAAGUUGAAAAUGGGAGUCCAAAGUUGAAUAUAUAUAUUUGGUCUAAAUGAAAGUUGCUGGCUAGCUGAUCCAAGUAACUAUGAUAACAUGCAGAAUGUGCUAGAUUUCUAGGUACAGAACAUUUUGAAAAUUUUUGAAAAAUUCUUAAUUUGUAUAUUUACACAACACACAACACUCUACACAACUUAAGAAUGACAUAAAAGAAACCCAGGAGUUUUUAGUUAAGACAAAAUUUUAAAGACAUAGCAUAAGUGGGUUUUUUUCUUCUAUGUUCUGUAGACUUAUCCUGCAACCCUGUUGUUUGGUUUAAGAAAGUAGACAACUUAGUUACAAGCACAGCUUUUUUAAACCAAGGACUUUUAAAUAUAUCUUUAGUUUCAGAAAAGGCCUAAAAACUACCCCCCAAAAAGAGAUUCCUUGAGCUGGAAAUGAGAAUCCAAAGGGAGAAAAUGUAAAUAUAUAUAAAAAAAAUCAGCCUAGGCCACCCCCCCCCCCCCCCCAAAAAAAAGACACAUUGGAAUCAGUUAAGUCCAGGACAUCUAUGCAAGCAACCCUUAUCUCUAUUUUUAAAUAUCUAGCUUUUGAAAUGAAUUCUUACAUGAAGAAUAGGUGAAGAACCUCUUCCCUUCCCUCUUCUCUCCUCCAAUUUGCCAGAGAUGAGACCCUUUGUAAUAAUUGAAAUGAAAAUAACACAAAUGCUG